GAAAUGCGAUAAGUAAUGUGAAUUGCAGAAUUCAGUGAAUCAUCGAAUCUUUGAACGCACAUUGCGCCCCUUGGUAUUCCGGGGGGCAUGCCCGUUCGAGCGUCAUUACACCACUCGAGCCUGGCUCGGUGUUGGGCGACGGGACCGCACCCGCGCCCCUAUUCUACCGGCAGGACGGUUGGAUCCUCAGCGUUGUGAAUCAAAUUCGCUCGGGGUGAAGGCCGGUCGCGCCGUUAAACUACUUCCAUUCAGGUUGACCUCGGAUCGGGUAGGGAUACCCGCUGAACUUAA
rnacentral:misc_RNA from 1 species